GUAGUAUUCCCUCCGUCCCAAAAUUCUUGUCUUACAUUUGUUCAGAUACAGAUGUAUCUAACACUAAAAUGUAACUAGAUACAUCCAUAUUCAGACAAAUUUAAGACAAGAAUUUUGGGACGGAGGGAGUACAAA
rfam:Triticum aestivum genome assembly, contig: Triticum_aestivum_CS42_TGACv1_scaffold_499497_6BL